GGCAUCGUAGCUCAACUGAUAGAGUGUACGUUGUACAAAAGCGUAGGCGGCGUCUAUGCGCGUAGGUUCAAAUCCCACCGGGGCUA
rnacentral:tRNA from 1 species